rnacentral:lncRNA from 1 species
UUUUUUUUUUUUUGGUCAUUUUAGGGCCUUACCCACAGCAUAUGGAAGUUCCCAGGCUAGGGGUCCAAUCAGAGCUGCAGCUGCCGGCCUACACCACAGCCACAGCAAUACAGCAAUGCUGGAUCCUUAACCCACUGAGCGGGGCCAGGGAUUGAAUCUGCGUCCUCAUGGAUGCUAGUCUGAUUCGUUUCUGCUGAGCCACCAUGGGAACGCCCCUCCUUCUGUCUUUAAAAAAAAAAAAAAAAGUGUAUGGUGCAGCCAAGAGGAACCCAUGCGUUCUGCCUCCUUACUCCGGGUAGACCCUGAGCCGACCCAGAGCAAAGGAGGAAGCAGACGAGAGCUCUGGGGCCUGGAACAGACAACACAGGCAUAGAGCCAGUGGGCCCUCUUCUCCCUUCCUCAACCCAUGCUGAACGGCCAACACAACCGCCCUGCCCACGACCCCUCAUCAUAAAGGGCAGUUGGCUAGGGUGUGGGAACGGUGGGGAAGCUCUCCCAGCCUAGAUUUGAACCCAUAGCAUUAAAGAUGCUCUCAGUCUUAAAAGUUGGGAAAAUAGCAUAAGGAGAUUAUUCCAAAGUCAGCUUAGAGAACUGUAGAUAAUUGACAGGUGGAACUGGGGAAAGAAUUCUGGAAAAACAAAUCCAGAAGUUCUCAGCGUAAGCCCUAUGGCAUUUCUCUCUCUCUCUCCCUUUCCCUUUCUUUCUUUCCUUCCUUCCUUGCUCUGUCCCUUUUAGGGCGUCGCCUGCUGCAUGUGGAAGUUCCGAGAUCAGAGGUAGAAUCAGAGCUGCAGCUGCUGGCCUACACCACAGCCACAGCAACACCAGAUUUGAGCCACAUCUGCUAAUGUUGCAGCUGGUGACCACAUCAGAUCCUUAACCCACUGAGCAAGGCCAGGGAUGGAACCUGCAACCUCACGGACACUAUGUUGGGUUCUUAAACCUCUGAGCCACAGUGGGAACUCCUGCACCAUGGCAUUUUAGGUCCCGUAACUAUUAGCUGUGGCGGGAUGUCCACUGCACUGUAGGAUGUUUGGCAUCAUCUGUGGUCUCUCACUAGCAGCCGGUAGCAAACCCCACCCUCCCAAAUCAUGACAACCCAAAAUGGCUCCAGACACUGUCCC